UACCUCAAAAAACCACAACAGUCUGUUUCAUCCGUAUAGGAAUCAUCAGGUGGUGAUGAUUCCUAUACGGAUGAAACAGACUGUUGUGGUUUUU
rnacentral:miRNA from 1 species